rnacentral:rRNA from 1 species
UGGGGAAUAUUGGACAAUGGGCGAAAGCCUGAUCCAGCCAUGCCGCGUGUGUGAAGAAGGUCUUCGGAUUGUAAAGCACUUUAAGUUGGGAGGAAGGGCAGUUACCUAAUACGUGAUUGUUUUGACGUUACCGACAGAAUAAGCACCGGCUAACUCUGUGCCAGCAGCCGCGGUAAUACAGAGGGUGCAAGCGUUAAUCGGAAUUACUGGGCGUAAAGCGCGCGUAGGUGGUUAGUUAAGUUGGAUGUGAAAUCCCCGGGCUCAACCUGGGAACUGCAUUCAAAACUGACUGACUAGAGUAUGGUAGAGGGUGGUGGAAUUUCCUGUGUAGCGGUGAAAUGCGUAGAUAUAGGAAGGAACACCAGUGGCGAAGGCGACCACCUGGACUGAUACUGACACUGAGGUGCGAAAGCGUGGGGAGCAAACAGGAUUAGAUACCCGGGUAUCCCUGAGCGGGCUGGCAAGGCGCAU